UAACAGCUCAAAUUUGAAAUCUGGCUCCGUCGGAGUCCGAGUUGUAAUUUGUAGGAUGCUUUGGGUUGCAGAUUCGGCCUAAGUUCCUUGGAACAGGACGUCAUAGAGGGUGAGAAUCCGGUAUGCGGCCGAGGUUUGCGCCCGUGUAAAGCUCUUUCGACGAGUCGAGUUGUUUGGGAAUGCAGCUCAAAAUGGGUGGUAAAUUUCAUCUAAAGCUAAAUAUGGGCCAGAGACCGAUAGCGAACAAGUAGAGUGAUCGAAAGAUGCAAAGCACUUUGGAAAGAGAGUUAAACAGUACGUGAAAUUGUUGAAAGGGAAGCGCUUGCAACCAGACUUGGGCACUGUUGAUCAUCUAGAGUUUUCUCUGGUGCACUCGACAGCGCACAGGCUAGCAUCGGUUCGGGUGGCUGGAUAAAGGCGGUAGGAACGUAGCUCCUCUUGGGGAGUGUUAUAGCUUACGGUGCCAUGCAGCCCAGCCGGACCGAGGACCGCGCCUUCGGGCUAGGAAGCUGGCGUAAUGGUUGUAAGCGACCCG
rnacentral:rRNA from 1 species